UACGUAGGGGGCAAGCGUUGUCCGGAUUUAUUGGGCGUAAAGAGCGUGUAGGCGGCCGUACAGGUCAGCUGUGAAAACUCGAGGCUCAACCUCGAGACGUCGGUUGAAACCGUACGGCUAGAGUCCGGAAGAGGAGAGUGGAAUUCCCGGUGUAGCGGUGAAAUGCGCAGAUAUCGGGAAGAACACCCGUGGCGAAGGCGGCUCUCUGGGACGGUACGUGACGCUGAGACGCGAAAGCGUGGGGAGCGAACGAGG
rnacentral:rRNA from 1 species